rnacentral:rRNA from 1 species
AUUGAACGCUGGCGGCAUGCCUUACACAUGCAAGUCGAACGGCAGCACGGGAGCAAUCCUGGUGGCGAGUGGCGAACGGGUGAGUAAAGUAUCGGAACGUGCCCAGUCGUGGGGGAUAACGUAGCGAAAGUUACGCUAAUACCGCAUACGAUCUAUGGAUGAAAGCGGGGGAUCGCAAGACCUCGCGCGAUCGGAGCGGCCGAUAUCAGAUUAGGUAGUUGGUGGGGUAAAGGCUCACCAAGCCGACGAUCUGUAGCUGGUCUGAGAGGAUGACCAGCCACACUGGGACUGAGACACGGCCCAGACUCCUACGGGGGGCAGCAGUGGGGAAUUUUGGACAAUGGGCGAAAGCCUGAUCCAGCCAUGCCGCGUGCAGGAUGAAGGCCUUCGGGUUGUAAACUGCUUUUGUACGGAACGAAAAGGUUUGGCCUAAUAAGCUGAGCUCAUGACGGUACCGUAAGAAUAAGCACCGGCUAACUACGUGCCAGCCGCCGCUGUAA